rnacentral:rRNA from 1 species
AUUGAACGCUGGCGGCAUGCUUUACACAUGCCAGUCGAACGGUAACAGGCCUUCGGGUGCUGACGAGUGGCGAACGGGUGAGUAAUGCAUCGGAACGUGCCCAGAGGUGGGGGAUAACGCAGCGAAAGCUGUGCUAAUACCGCAUGUGAUCUGAGGAUGAAAGCGGGGGACCAAGCAGCAAUGUUUGGCCUCGCGCCUCUGGAGCGGCCGAUGUCAGAUUAGGUAGUUGGUGGGGUAAAGGCCUACCAAGCCGACGAUCUGUAGCUGGUCUGAGAGGACGACCAGCCACACUGGGACUGAGACACGGCCCAGACUCCUACGGGAGGCAGCAGUGGGGAAUGUUGGACAAUGGGCGCAAGCCUGAUCCAGCAAUGCCGCGUGCGGGAAGAAGGCCUUCGGGUUGUAAACCGCUUUUGUACGGAACGAAAAGGCUCUGGCUAAUACCUGGGGCUGAUGACGGUACCGUAAGAAUAAGCACCGGCUAACUACGUG